ACAAAAAUAUCUCUCUCUCUCUCUGUGAGAUCGGAGCCUGCCAUGUCCGAUGAGGAGCACCACUUCGAGUCGCCGACGCCGAAGCCUCUAAGACCUCUCCUCAGCAUUUCAUAGUUUGAUUGAAUGGGAAGGGAGGGAUUCAAUUCCCUCCAAACGUAACUCAACUUCAAAGAUCAAAGCAACAGUGAAGGAAUUGGGUUGCUAUCGUUCACUGUGAGCCAUGGAAGUUCUCGAAGGUUAGCUUGUUUUAAAUCCGAUUGAUUUUGUCUUUAAUAAUUUUCUGCUUUUAGUUCCUGAACAUUUAAUUAACUUAGCAGAAAGUAGUAAUUUAGUACAUUGAAUACCUGAAUGUGCGAAGGCUAUAUGCUAUCUAUGGUUUCUUUGAGCAUGGUGUGACGAGUUGUGGUACGUGGGAGCCCUAACAAUUGGGGGUGAUGGUGUGCAUGCGUCUUUGAGGCUCGUGCUUGUGGUGAUGGAGGUUGCUAAUGGCCACUGGGUGGUGCCGCCUAGUUUUAAGGCCGUGCCUCCAGCUCUUGAUCAAGGUAGUAGUGGGAGUGUGACUCUGACUAACACUCAUACGGGUAAGGAUGUGACUGGGUGGUGAAGGGUUAAGGUAAGGAGAAGGUGGUAAUUGGGACUGAAGAUGAAGUGAAGAUGAUUAAGGGUUUUGUGACUAAGUCUCUUCCUCAAGGCCAUAUUUUGAGGACAAGCUCAAGUACAGAUCCACUGUCAUCCCUGCAGAAGAGAGAUUGGAUUGUGGAAUUUUUGUGAUGUACUACAUGGAGAAACUUUCGAAAGAGGAGGGGAUUCAAAAGACACUCUGCAAGAAGUAUAUUUUGCAAUAUAGAGCUCAUAUAAUCAAGACAUUUGCGAAACAUAGGCAGAUUUGGAUCUCUAUAGAUUUAGAGUUUUAGAAAUUUGUUUAGGGCUUAGGAUGCAAGUCACUGGCCAAUUGUAAACUCCAGCUUACUAAAUCAAUUAGCUUUUUAUAUCUUUUUAUGGUAUCACUGUUAUGUUUAGUUUUCCUUAAUGAAAUUUACAGCAC